rnacentral:tRNA from 1 species
GGCUUCAUAGCUUAGUUGGUUAGAGCGUCGCACCGAUAUCGCGAGGUCACGGGCUCACACGUGCACCCCGUUGAAAUUC